GACGAACUGUAGCCUAGCAUGUAGCGUUGUUUUUACUCAAACCCAUUAUUUUGCAUUGUUAUUGUUAGUGUAAUCUAUACGUGAAGCCAUUAAUGGCAGAAACCCUAAACCUCUGAUUCUCCCCUUCUUCGUCUUCUUAUUUUGUUUAAUAUCAUAAAAUUCACAAUUAUUCUCCAAUUAAAGAUGUUAGGAGCCAAAUUCUCUUGUUCUUCUCAUACUUUAUCACGUACCCAAAUCGAAUUCCCUUCAAUUCCCGUUCACAUAAACAACAAUCAAUCUUCUACUACUCUCAAUUUUUCUAUUAACCGUGUAAAACGCAAUCAUUCUCUUAUAUCAUAUUGUCUUCCUAAUUAUAAUUCUGCAAUUUUAGCUGAAAAUCAUCGUCAUGAAACUGACGCAGAAGUCGACACUUCUUCUUCCCUUCCUAGACCAUUAUCUUCCAUUAAUUAUGCUUCAAACUCUGAUGGGUCUCGCCUUCGUGUUGCCUAUCAGGGUGUUAGUGGUGCAUAUAGUGAGCUGGCAGCUGAGACUGCCUAUCCAAAUUGUGAAGCAGUGCCUUGUGAGCAAUUCGACACAGCUUUUGAAGCGCUUGAGCGUUGGCUUGUUGAUCGAGCAGUUUUACCAAUUGAGAAUUCCCUGGGAGGGAGCAUCCACAGAAAUUAUGACCUUCUGAUGAGGCAUAGGUUGCAUAUAGUCGGUGAAGUGAAGCUUCCGAUUCAGCAUUGUUUGUCAGCGAAUCCUGGUGUUAAGCUUGAAGAUUUGAAAAGGGUGUUAAGCCAUCCUCAGGCUCUUGCUCAGUGCGAGCACACAUUAGCUAAAUUUGGAGUAAGUAGAGAAGCUGUGGAUGAUACAGCUGGUGCAGCAAAGUUUGUUGCAUACAACAAACUCAAAGAUGCAGGAGCAGUUGCAAGUGCUGCUGCAGCAAGGAUCUAUGGUUUAAAUAUACUGGCUGAAGAUAUACAGGAUGAUUCUGAUAAUGUGACUAGAUUUCUAAUGCUAGCUAGGGAACCCAUUAUUCCAGGAAGCGAUAGACCCUUUAAGACUAGCAUUGUUUUCUCACUCGUAGAGGGUCCUGGUUCGCUUUUCAAGGCUCUAGCGGUUUUUGCUUUGAGGCAAAUAAAUUUAGCAAAGAUUGAAAGUCGGCCUCUACGGAACAGCGACAGUCAAAAUGGUUCUUCAAAGUGUUUCGACUAUCUCUUUUACUUGGAUUUUGAAGCGUCUAUGGCUGAUCCCAACGCACAAAAUGCCCUUCGACAUCUUGAGGAGUUUGCUACUCUUCUGCGGGUGUUGGGAAGUUUUCCAGCUGACACAAAGAGGUGAUCUAUGAGACUUGUGAGACGGGGCUUCAUCGUUUGGGUGAACAUCGAUAUUUGAAGGAUGAGGAAAAUGUUUGUUACACAGAAGGAAAUUGUGAAACGGGAGGUUAUUGGCAAGACAAGGGAAGCACUGCGGUGGAUUUAAUUCUUUGGUAAGCAAAGCAGCUGGGUGUAUACACACGACAUUGGUUGUUUUGAGUGAACAGGGGUAUUUGGAAUAUAACGUUAGACACUAGACAAUCUUGACUUAUUAUGGAGUUUAUCAAUGAGGCGGUUAUGCCUUGUUUGUACAAUUUUUUCCCAUUAAAUCUCAGUGUAGAAAGAUUUAAUAUGCUGGAUCUUCCAGUUUGAUGUUGAUGUUAUUUAUUUGUUUGGGUUGAAUUAGUUGGAAAAUGCAGGGUUAUAUAGUGGCAUGUGUUCCAUGUUUUCUGUCACUGUAGACUCUCUAUAACUGUACAGUGUGGACUGUGGAGUAGUGUAGUUGUACUCAUUAAUUUGAUUGCUACUUGUAAUAUUGAGUUUUGAUUACAUGUUAAUUGCUGUAUUAGUGAUUACGUUGUGAAAUGAAAGCCUUAAAGAGGUUUAACAAUGAGAAACAAAAUGAAAAAUAAAACAAAAGAUGAACACAAGUGUUUAUGAGGUAUCUUGAAUACCUACCCCUCAAAUGUAGUUUUAUUAUAAAUGAUUCAACAAUACAAUUAUAAUAAACCUCCCUUAUCUUGAGAACAAACCUCUCAAAUAUUAGAUUUUUGAAGUCUAGAUUUUUCAAAUUAGGAGGGAGUAUUAGAAAGGCUAAUCAGAAAAAUCUAGAAGAUGAUUAUCUACAACUAUCUAGUGUUAAGUAAGAAGUAAUUGUUAGAAUAUACUAGAGGUGUGAAGUAAGAAAAAAAAUAUCUAGAUAAAAUCCUAGCUUAACUACUAGAAUGUUCCAUAGCAAGUAUAAAUAGAGUAUUAUGACACUUACAUUAUAUAGAACAAGAAGCUCCCAUAAAAACAAAGGAUUAAGCCAUGAGCUCAAAUCAUAAAAUAUAUACAAAAAAUAGAGAUAUUGAUAAGUGAGACAUGAGCUCACAUAAAAAUAGUAGUGAAGAAUGUAUAGGUGCGGAACAAGUGUCCCACCAAAAAUAUUCUUGUACAAUUUAUAAUAUAAUUAAAUAUUUGCAUUCAGUAAAUGUAAUAUAAUAUUUAUUUGGGUCUAACUACAGAAUUCCGCGUGCGCCCAAAAACUACUAUCAUCAAGAUCACAAAAUACUAGAGCAAAGUAAGAACACUCUCAAGUUUCUAACAAUGCACUAGACUACUCUCAAUAUGUGUGUUUGUGGUGAAUUGUGUUCUAUGAAUGAGUAUCCUAUUUAUAGUGAGGAAUACUACAUUCUAGAACCCCCUUUUAAUUCACCAUAUUCACCAUAAACUCACAUGUAACACCCCAAUUAACUAUGAUAAUUAACCAUAGUAAUAAACAUCACAAUAAACAUUACAUUAAACAAGGAAGUAAUGCACUUGUUCAAUGACUACACUAAGAAUUCUGACCGAAACAGAAUCCAACGAAGCCUGCUCGACUGUCCCUCGAUUGAGCCACUACCUCGCUCGGUCGAGCGAGCCUCCUGUGAGGCUACUGACUUGUAGCACUGCUAUCCGCUCGACCAGUCGAGCGGUGCUUCUGACUUCUUCUUUCUUGUUGCUUCGAUUAAGCAACCCUCAUCAAUCGUUCCAAACUUCAAACCAUCCACAUACGACACAUCUUUAUUGAUCCUCUCCAAAGUACAAGACAAAGAAUGUUCAAUUAUAUGUUUAAAUUUAACGUCAUCAUUAAGAUUAUUGGCACUUGCUUUAACACGUUAAAUUUUCUUAUUCAUUUAGUUGCACAUGGAUGAGGUUAAUGUUUAUUACAAAGAAAGAAUUUGUGACUUGUUAUAUGGCACUAGAAGAACAAUGUCUAAUUGAGGGUAUGGCACUAGAAGAACAAUAACAAAUUAACAAUGUCAAAGUUUUAAUCUUGAAAAUGAGAGGAUUGUUAUUAACAAUGUCAAAGUUUUAAUCUUGAAAAUGAGAGGAUUGAGGAACUUUCUAUAAAGUCUUAUCGAGGGUAUGGGCCAUGGGAGAAGGGGAUGAGAGUGAAAUUUUCAUGGUGUUGUCUAUCUAAACAAUUUAGUCAAUUUUGAGAGAUUUGAGUUUAGCAAUGACUAUAAGGUUUUCUUGCCAACAGCCAAUAAUUAUUUUUGUCAAAUAUUUGUUUAACUAGCUAGAAAAAACAAAUGCUACCAGCUGGUGAAACAAGUCAACUGAACCGUUUAACAACCAAUUAGACGUUUACAUUGAGCAUAGGAUUGAUAAGACACACAUGAUUAAAUAGGUUUGAUACUUUUUUUUAUAGGAGAAUGACGGGAUGCACUGUGAUUCGAGGUUUUUUGAUGUGUAUAUGUUGGUGGGUUGGGAUGGGGUAGGAGCUGAUGGCAGUAUAAGGGAAGCAUUACAGUGAACUGGAUCUCUUUGGUAUGCCAAGGCAGCUGGAUGUAUACACAAAAGAUUGGUGUUUUUUGGUAAACAGUAGAUGCAUCUGCGUUCUGGAAUUAAUUGGGUACACACUGGACAGUUGACAGUGCUGAGUUAUUAUGCAGUUUAUUAAUGAGGCAGUUACGAUUUGUUUAAACAAUUUUUUCCCAUCAAAUCUCAGUUUAGAAAGCUUUAAUAAGCCGGAUCUUCUAGUUUGAUGUUGAUGUUAUUGUUUGGGUUGAAUUAGUUGGAAUAUGCAGAUUUGUAUAGCCACAUGUGUUCCAUGUUUUUCUAUCACUGUAGUUGUGUGUAUUCAGAAUUGUAUACUCCUUUCACAUGCUUUCUCAUUUUAGCUUGAUCAGGAUGCUGCUUUGUGCUAAAUUUGUUCAAAUUUGCUUUCACACAUGUUAAUUCUCUUAAUUUAUUUGAGUGCCUCUUGAAGGAUCUUCUUCUUUUCUACCAGCAAUUUUAACUUAUCUUUUUCAACCCAUUUUGAAACAGAUUAUUUGAUUACCUAUGUCAAGGGAACAUUAAUGACAAUAUUUGAACUAAUUAAACACUGAUUCUUGGGGGCUGCAUAGUGAAAAUACAGGCCACAUCACCUUUUAUCGAGUUUGAAACGUAUCGUAAAUGUUUUUGUGUUUAAUGCUUUCAAAUUGUAAGCUGAGACAAUAAAAAAAAUCAUCCGCGUUGAUCGCAAAAUCCAAUUCGCAACCGUAACCAAAACCGAAUUUUUCCACGAGGGUAAUUAAUUUUUUUGCGCCAACAAAGAUAAUAUACAUAAACUAUUCCUGUGUGGUAAAACCUUCUAGGAACCCCCAUCUCACCAAAUGACGAAAUAGAGAAAUUUUACCCUUGGCAACAAUGUUAUUCCAAACAGCAUGAUUAUGAAUCCUGAAACAGGAUUAUGUGUUUAUUCAUGGUUUUGGUCUAUCAUAGAAUCCUUCUCAUAUACUUCAUGUUAAUUUUUUUUUCCCUUGGUUGCAUUUCACUUCAAUAUUUAUUCUCAAUGUAGCAAAGAUUUUAACUUCUUUGGUUUGGUAUAAUGUUGUUCUAAAAUAUAAUUUUUUUACGUAAUAUACGUUUUUUUUUUAA